GUUGAACGCUGGCGGCAGGCCUAACACAUGCAAGUCGAGCGAGCGGCGGACGGGUGAGGAAUGUCUGGGAAACUGCUUGAUGGAGGGGGAUAACUACUGGAAACGGUAGCUAAUACCGCAUACCAUCAGAUGUGCCCAGAUGGGAUUAGCUGGUAGGUGGGGUAACGGCUGACCUAGGCGACGAUCCCUAGCUGGUCUGAGAGGAUGACCAGCCACACUGUAACUGAGACACGGUCCAGACUCCGACGUGAGGCAGCAGUAGGGAAGCUUGCACAAUGGGCGCAAGCCUGAUGCAGCCAUGCCGCGUGUGUGAAGAAGGCCUUCGGAUUGUAAAGCACUGUCAUCGGGGAGGCGUUACCCACAGAGGAAGCACCGGCUAACUCCGUGCCAGCAGCCGCGGUAAUUC
rnacentral:rRNA from 1 species